AGGGUGGAUGUGGACUUCCCUGGAAAUUAUUUUCUUCACAUUCUCUCUCCGGAUGUCUACCACUGUCAGCUUGCCUGCACCCAGCACCAUUCCUGUCUUUUCUUUACCUUCUUGCACCCUGACUGGAAGGAACACAACAGGUCAAAUGUGUAAUGCUUUUCAGAGUGUUUAUUGUAACAGACUUACUGUAGAAUCCACAAAGGUAAAAUGUUUACCGUAUGUACUGUGCUUCAGCACAUGGUGAGUGUUUUAGAGGACUAUGCUCUAGCGUCAUGAGUUUACCCCUCUGGAUGUACAUAAAGUAUUGAUCUGUUGUCGCAAGUUAUUGAUUUAUGUUUGCCAAUAUGUAGUGUAUUUACUGAAAAUAUUCUGAAAUGUGUAAUGUUUCCAUAUUUUUGCAUUUUGUUUAUUUUUUAUAUCUACUGUAAAUAACUUCAUUAACACCAAUCAAAAUGCACUAGAGAGCUCAAAGCAGUAACCUCAGGCUUCCCACUCAGUUCCACUCAAGAUUAUAACACUAGUAAGUGCAAUAUUUUCUGCAUUAUAAGCAACAUGCUCCAUUUGCUUGGUGUAACAGUGUUUGUGAAAUAUAUAACCCACAACAUAGGAUUGUCAGAGUCGGCAAGCAACAGACCCAAGAGCAGAGGAACAGUUCACAGAAUUUAUUAAUAACAGGAACUCAAAUGCACAGCAGGGCUGGCAAACAGUAAGGGACCUGGCACCGACUGCAGCUGGAAGGCGAUGAGUGUGUUCGUAGGCAUGUGUGCGUCGAGACAAUGUGGAGCAGAUCCGUGAGGAAUCCUCAGUAAAGAGUGUGUUCGUAGGUGUGUUUGUGUCGUGGCAGUGAAGAGCAGCAGCAGGCUGGAAGGAAGAGAUUCGAGCCAGUAUUUACCUCCCAGGGGAUACUUCUGAAUACUUGCUGUGUCACCUCAGCACUGUCAGUUUCAGUGCACCGAACAUCCCAGAUGCACCCAUUUCUCAUACACUUCUGCCAAGUUUAAAACAAGUGAUACAUGGUAUUGUAAGGCUGGCACCAGAAUGUCUACAACCAAAAGGCGCCAUUUCCGGUAAAAAUCAAAGAACUCUGCGAGAAUCAACGUCAUAGAACUCUCUCACAAAAGCUGAAAUCUACACCUGAAUAUCACCACAGUGUGAUAAAUUGCAAAUCACCUUGCUGCCCCCCCUUCUCCCCUUCAUCAGCUCUGGACCAACACAAAAGACACAAGAUUUAUAUGUAAAAAUAUAACAAAUACCAUGAAAACAAAGAAUGCAACUGUAUGUGUUUGAUAUAAUUUAAGAGGUCUCUGUGUGACUGGUAUAGUGGUCUCUUUCCCAUGUUGAUAAAACCAAUGGUAACAAAGUUAUAAAGUCUUUGCCAAAUACUGCAUAAUUCUGGAGGUGUCUCCCCCUCCUUGACCUACAAUUGAAAUCAUCUCCUGUAUGUUAACAAGGUUAAACCCCAGGAAGUCAAGAACCCAUUCACCCCCAAAUCCUCAUUGUUCAAAGGAUAAUACCAUUUGGUACACAAUGUUUAUUCUGUCUGGAUAUUUAAGGAAAGUUGGCAUGAAGUUCUGGGAAUCUGUAAGCAGAUCUCCCAUGCUGUACCGCUGCAUGUAGUUUUGUCAGGUAUGUUUCUUUGCAACAAUGUUUUAUAUCC